UACGUAGGGGGCAAGCGUUGUCCGGAAUCAUUGGGCGUAAAGAGCGUGUAGGCGGCCCGAUAAGUCCGCUGUGAAAGUCCAGGGCUCAACCCUGGGAUGCCGGUGGAUACUGUCGGGCUCGAGUCCGGAAGAGGAGUGUGGAAUUCCUGGUGUAGCGGUGAAAUGCGUAGAGAUCGGGAGGAACACCAGUGGCGAAGGCGGCUACCUGGACCAGCACUGACACUGAAGCACGAAAGCGUGGGGAGCAAACAGG
rnacentral:rRNA from 1 species